GUACUAAAAAGGCAAACUCUGCGAAAGCAGGGGACGCAAAGUCACUGAUCUAACGGGAAAAUCCCCAUGAUGGCAGGACUGCAGGU
rnacentral:ncRNA from 1 species